rnacentral:misc_RNA from 1 species
GACACCCUACCCAAGGCCUGGGCCUGGGCCUGGCACUGGCCUGCCCUGGUGGUGAAAAAAGUGCAUUUCAGUUGUAGAGAUUAUUUCAAUAGAAGACAUCCGCGUGUCGCGUGCCGCACGGACAAACGUUUCAAACAAUCUGAGAAUUCCCAUUAAAGUUUAAUUUUUAAUGUAGUGCAGCCUCUAAUAUAAGUGAAAUCAUACCCAAAAGCCUUGUUAUUCAUUGAAAAAUUCUGCCAAUCUAUCAAUCUGGGUGUAAGGUAUUCUCCAAGACGCACACCGGAGGACAUCAAAUCGCAAGUGGACUCGUUCCGUCAGAAGUUAGUGGGCCAAGGGAAGACAGAUGCACCAAAGGAUGAAUUUGG